rfam:Labrenzia sp. VG12 chromosome, complete genome.
GCGCCCGGAGGUCACCACCCGACAGCGCGAUGCGCCCUCGGGUGCCAAACUG